rnacentral:rRNA from 1 species
CGCCUCCUGCAGCAUAAAGUAUAGGAGGUCCAGCCUGCCCAGUGACUACGGGUUCAACGGCCGCGGUAUAUUGACCGUGCAAAGGUAGCGCAAUCACUUGUCUUUUAAAUAGAGACCUGUAUGAAUGGCUAGACGAGGGCUUAACUGUCUCCCCCCUCCAGUCAGUGAAAUUGAUCUAUCCGUGCAGAAGCGGGUAUAGUACUACAAGACGAGAAGACCCUUUGGAGCUUAAGGUACAGAAUUUAGCCACGUUAAGCAACUCCAUAAACAGCAAGAACUUAGUGGUCAUGAAAUUUUACCUUCGGUUGGGGCGACCGCGGAGGAAAAGCAAGCCUCCGAGUGGACUGGGCCGAGACCCUAAAGCCAAGAGAAACAUCUUCAAGCCGCAGAACAUCUGACCAAUAAUGAUCCGGCUAAAAAGCCGAUCAACGGACCAAGUUACCCUAGGGAUAACAGCGCAAUCCUCUCCCAGAGCCCAUAUCGACGAGGGGGUUUACGACCUCGAUGUUGGAUCAGGACAUCCUGGUGGUGCAGCCGCU